rnacentral:rRNA from 1 species
GGGACUGAGACACGGCCCAGACUCAUACGGGAGGCAGCAGUAGGGAAUCUUCCGCAAUGGGCGAAAGCCUGACGGAGCAACGCCGCGUGAGUGAUGAAGGUUUUCGGAUCGUAAAGCUCUGUUGCCAGGGAAGAACGUCUUGUAGAGUAACUGCUACAAGAGUGACGGUACCUGAGAAGAAAGCCCCGGCUAACUACGUGCCAGCAGCCGCGGUAAUACGUAGGGGGCAAGCGUUGUCCGGAAUUAUUGGGCGUAAAGCGCGGCGCAGGCGGCCUCUUUAAGUCUGGUGUUUAAUCCCGAGGCUCAACUUCGGGUCGCACU